UACGUAGGGUGCGAGCGUUGUCCGGAAUUAUUGGGCGUAAGGAGCUCGUAGGCGGCCUGUCGCGUCGGAUGUGAAAGCCCGGGGCUUAACCCCGGGUCUGCAUUCGAUACGGGCAGGCUAGAGUUCGGUAGGGGAGAUCGGAAUUCCUGGUGUAGCGGUGAAAUGCGCAGAUAUCAGGAGGAACACCGGUGGCGAAGGCGGAUCUCUGGGCCAUAACUGACGCUGAGAAGCGAAAGCAUGGGGAGCGAACAGG
rnacentral:rRNA from 1 species